rnacentral:tRNA from 1 species
GCGGACAUGGUGGAAUUGGUAGACACGCUAGAUUUAGGAUCUAGUGAGAUUAUCUCGUGAGAGUUCGAGUCUCUCUGUCCGCA